GGCUGCCCAGGGCCCCGUCCAACCUGGCCUUGAACACCUCCAGGGACGGGGCAUCCACAACUUCUCUGGGCAGCUGCAUUAGAGUGGAGCUCUAGGGCUUUGGACUGAGCGCAGGGCAGACUGGCUAAGAUGCUUUGGUGUCAGUACAACUGUGCUGGGGCAUUUCCCAGGCCUAGACCAAGAUAUCUGCAGCUCCUGGCUAGUCACCCUCCCUGGUCUCCCUUCCAUUACCAUAUUUCCAAACCCAGUCUACACUGAGGCAGAUUUGGCUGUUACCACCACUACCAAAAAUAUAGCUCAUCAUCCAAAUAUGUAGCAACUCAAGUAUGAACAAAGAUAUGAUCAACUGAUUUUUGUAAUUUAUUCUUAUAAUGAAAUACAAAAUUAUUUGUUCCUGCUUCCACUUCACUUCCUUCUGCAAGUGCUCCUUCUUUGACAUGUCCUUACACAUCAGUAAUGCCUGUGAGUACACUGGAAACCCAAAGAUACAAAGAACUAAGCAUGAAGAGCAGAAAGCCCUGGUUUUUGGUCACCUGGCAUUUAACAUGGGUAAAGAACAGGGACAACAUAGCACUGGAAAUGCAGUUUAUUUGUGGAGCUCUUGCUACAGAGCAGAUGUGUAUGUGGAUUAUGAUGAAAGCUAAACAGAAAGCUUAGUUAUUGCUUGCUUGUUUUUUUCAGUGGAAUCUGAGGUUGGGGUUUUCUUUUACUUUUCAUCUGUUGAGCAAACAUUGAAGCCAUGAGUCUGAAGACAACCAGCCCAUCUGUUCGCAUUUCCUUUCUCUUUACCUUCUCCCUAUCCUUGUGAAUCUUUCAGACACAGACAGCAAUUACAGUAUACACGAUGUUUAAUUGAACUUAAUCCCCAUUAAUUGCUUAAAUGAUUCAAUUAAGUAAUAUUAUUUAGUAAAAAUUACACACUGCCUUUCAGGCUUAGAAUGCAGUUAUUGCAAGCAAAAAUCCUCCCGUUGUUUUUGGGCUCGGAACCAGCUAGUCAUAUGACUAUUUGUUAGUGUAGCAAUUACAUCAAGCAAGGGAUGAGUUGGCUGCUUUGUCUGCAUAGGAACUGUAAGGCUGUAGCUUGAGUCACGGCAUUUGUGAGAAAAAUGCUGUAGUCUUAAAGAAAAGCAAAUGUUUUUCGGAGAUUGGUGUUUAUUUUUGACAAACAAAUUGUCAGUAUCAAACAAAAUUAUAAUGUCCUUGAGUCUUUCAUUUCCAGCCAAAUCAUUAUCAGCUGAUGCUCAAAUGCAUUAUCUGUCUGAAGCACUGAGCACUUUCCAUUAUCAUUUUUCUACUGGUACUAAAAACAAUUUUCUGUAGUUUUAUUGAGCUAAUCUAGCAACUUUCCAAACCAACUAACAAAGGAAAGAAACACAGUAUUGGACUUCAUAAGGAACUCAUGCCCAUUCUUCUUGUAAAGUAAUAGAAACUGUUAAAUAUUUGCAUAAAAAAAUCUUACUAAUAAGCUUCACUUAAUGUGGAAGAUCAGGCUGGAAAGCUUUAAUAUGAUAUUGCAUGAAUUUGAUAUUAAGCUAAAAAUUAUUAUUGUUAUAAAAUGGCAGAGUUUUGUUCUAUUCCCACCAUCUAAUUUGUUACUUAUAUGUGAAAAGGGGCAGCUGAACCAAUAAGCCUGUACAACACAGUUAAAAACUAAAGUAAAUUUAAUGACAUUACUUCCCAGACUAAAUUUGCAUAAUGUAAUUUAGGGAAAAAGUUGCUGUAUGUUUGCAUUAACUACGAGCUGGCAUCUGACUGGGCAUGUCUGAGCACUGGGCUAAGCCUCUUGUUCCAGCCCUAGGAGUGGGAAGGGCUUUGCAUUCUGACACUCAGGAUUUAGCAAAGAGAAGAAUAUUCAUAUUGCAGUAAAGCAACAAGAAACAUUAUAUGCCAGCAAUUUCAAAUCAGAAAAAUAAGAACAAGAUGCUUCUUUCUUGCACCGUUCCGCAUUUUUGUAGGUCUCACAGUACAACCAGACUAAACCAGCUCCCCAGACUAUAUUGCUUGCUUUGAUACAUUCACAACUUGUCAAUGAUAUCAAAGGCUUUGUAAUAUUUGCAGUUUAACAAUGGAGAGGCAAACUUUACUGGUUAUUAGUUAAGGGAAUACAAUACUGUACAGUCUUGCUUUUCAAUAAGGAGUUUUGUUUUUUGUUUUCACUUCAUUAUAGUGAAAGAGAAGAUGACAACGUAGGAAUUAAGUAUCUAUAUUACUUACAUUACCAAUAGCAGUAUGGUGUAGACAGAAAACAGAAGGCAAAGCGCUGCAUCAAAUGAGAACAAAAUUUGACACAUUCUCUUUUUACUGGGACUUAACACAGAUGGAGUGGCAAAACAGUGAGUUUGGGAUGGACCUUGAGCAGAAAAGGUGAUCCUGGCAGAUUUCAUAGUUCUGAAGCAGCCUUUGAAAGAAUGUGUGUCUGGCUUACACUGAGCCAUGCAGUGAGAUCUGAGGCACACGCUUCAUCCGCCAGAUCACCACUACUGCAGGGGGGAGGACCAUAAGGAAGCUCAUGAUCAGCACUGUAGCACAAAUGACCAGCAGUAUUUCCCAUGGUGCCAGGGUUGUUUCCUCCACCAUUUCCUCCAUUCCAAGAGUAUGAAGCUGUAGGGAAGAAAAUACACCGCAUUACCUUUUUUUUUUUUUUUUUUUUUUUUUUUGUAAAUAGAUGUUACAACUGUAUAGAUGUGCUUGUUUUAUUUAGCCAGGGGCUGUGUAACAGAGCAAUGACAUAGAGCUGUCAAACAAUGUGUUGAGUCAGUGUUAUCUAGCAUUACAAAAUGUCAAAUCUUGAACUUUUCAAUCUAGUUUUCCAUUUCAUUUUUCAGAGUGGAGCACUGGCUUUGCUCUUGUGGGUUUUCCCAUUAGCAUAUGAUGGGGUAAGUCAAAAUGUGUCACUGGGGGUUACCUGCCACAUAAGGUCCACAGUUAUCAGAUUAAAGAAAAAGAUUUAAAAAUGAAUAUUACCAAUACAUUUUUUAACAUUUUUGCAACAAGUACAGACAGAAAUGUACUCACUUAGCAGGAAAAUAAAUAUGAUUAUAACGAGCAGAGCUGAUAAAGUGUCUGGGAACAAGGAGAGAAAGAGGAGACUGGAGGGAAAUUGUUCUAUCACUGAAGACUGGAUCACAUCAGGAUUUUGCCAUUUAGCUGUCCAGCAAACCAUUUUCUGGGAAUUUCAAACAGUCUUCUUGUUUGAAAGCAUUUAAAAGUUUUGUUUUCCUGCUUUAGCCUAGCACACAACUUUAGACAGUCUCCAACAAGCUGGCUGGACCAGCUGCUUUCUCUUAUGUCAGGCAGAAUGCAAAGCUCAGCAUAGCUGAGCUCUUGAGCAAAAUGGCUGCCCCCUCUAUGUGGGAGUGCAGGGAGUUUCACUCUCUUACUGCGUUUCCCUUUCCCUUCCCCUUUCCGCGGAGCACCAAACGGCGUUACAUGGCUAUCUGCUGACUCUAAAGCUCAGAACAGUAGGGUACAAUAGAAGAGUGAUCUGUGAAUCAUCAGCACCGGGUUUCUGAGGCAGGAGAGAGGCCCGCUCACAGGUGUGCCCUAACUCAGCAGGAACCAGGUGCUGCUGCUCAGCACAGCCCCACACAGCUGAGCACCACGAUGGGCCACAUAUAAAGGUGGUGCUGGGGAGGGAAAGUUCAAUCACAACACCUUGCUUUUGCUGUUGUCUGGAAGAAGGUCUCCCAAACAGUAUUGCUCUCAGCCCAGGAUCAUGGCCGAGGCUUUUCCAGAGGCUAUCCAAGGUUUGUCUGGGGCUAUUUGAGGCGAGAUAUAAUGGGCUUCUGUAAUUAAAUGCUAAACCUUACAAAAAAAAAAAAAAAAAAAAAAAAAAACCAGACAGAUCAAAUACAUGGUUUAGGAAGAAGUGAAAAAUGAGUGGACUUUAAAAGUUUGCAAGCUGCCAGCAAAUUUUUACCUGGUGUAGGAGUAUUGAAAUUGCUGUCACUAAGAACUUCUUGUUACAGCCUGCGAGGAAGAGCAAGAGCUGUCUGAUACCAAAUCCUGCAGAGUUUGGAUGAUGAUAUCUACAAGGAAAGCUAGCAGCCUAUUAGGCAGGCUUCAGCUGGAGCUUUACUGAGCUGUUAAAUGAGCAGGGUUCUGCCACCUGAAGGUAAACUUUAGCUCUCUGGUGUUGACUUGCUGUUUUUUGUAUCUGCGUCCUAAUCUCUCAAGGUACCAACUCAAACUAUUUUAAGAAAAAAGGGAAAACCACUUUCCCUUCAGGCUCAGUUACACCUGUGCAGGCUCUGUGUCUGCCUUGCAGCAGUGCUGAGACCUUUCCAGAAACCACAGCCCUUGUGAACUUGUGCCAGGAUUUACAGUUCACAUUAAUGUCAACUCCUGCAAGCUGUGGAAUGUUGCAAAGGAUAUGGGUGUAGCUUCUAGCUCAGAGCCUGAAGCACAGAUGGGGUGACUGUCUCCCUGCCAGCUGAGCACAUACCUGUGGCAGGACAGCUCCGGAAUGUCACCUGUUAGGCUUGUUCCUCCGUGACAGUCUGGCCUUUCUUAGUGCACUAAGUUUUCUUCUUCCCUCUCUUUGGGUGCAUGAAAGAAAGCAAGUGUGAGGCCAUUAAAAACAGAAGAGGCAGCUGUAGGUGAGCCUGGGGAGCUGCCUCCUGCUGUUUUUUUUUUGUUUGUUUGUUUGUUUGUUUUUCAGUCACAGCUGCAGGAGAGCACUAGAUUGAAUCCUUUUCUCCCCUCUGCCCAAUUGUUCUCCUCCAUCUGACUCUGAGAUCUCCUGCUCCUGUUUCUCCCUCAGAUUUGUCGGAAGCUACAUAGACUGAAGUCUUCCCUUUCUCAAGUUCAUGCAAAACCCCUCUGGAUGUUGAAGAAGCAAUUUUCUUAGCACAGUUGACAGACUUGCUUUUUAGAGAAAAAAACAAUUCUAUUCUUACACUCACCACAGAAAAGAAUUGCAAUUUUGAAACACGCAUCUGGAAGUGAAGCUGGUAUGCUUCAUUAAGAGCCUGUUUAAUGCUAUCUGAAGUAGGCCUUGUAAAGCAUGUUAGAUUACAGAUUGCUUUGCUGCUACCCUUAACACAGAUCCAUUCAUGACCAAUAAUGUCUUCGAAAUCACAGCACUCUUACAGAGGACUACAUUAGCAGGAAAAAAAGACUUGUGUAACAGUACAUAUAUUUAGCUGUCACACUAUACAGCCUGCUACGCUAUCCAGAAGACAAUAUUGUUUGGCCAUUUAAUUUACAGCUUUUACUUCUAAUCACUAGGGGAAAAAAAGCCAUGCAAGCAGAAGGGGUAACUGAAUUUGUCAGGCUGCUCUCUUCCACUGAGUUAGAUGGGCAGUGUGCCUAGGACAGAGCUGCCUGGUGGCUUGUUUCUGCCCUCUAAGGAAUCUGCAGUCUUGCCCUACCACCUGAAACUACUUAGCAAUGCUUGUCCAGCCUGCUGCAGGUGCUGAUGUGUCCAAUGAUAUUUUUUAUUUCAGCUGCAAUGAAGCUGAGUUACAUAGCUAUAUUUCUCUGUUAAUCUAGCAUUUUUUUUUUCCCCAAAUCACUCAUGAAUCUUUUCUUUGAAAAACCAAUUGUAAAGGUGUCAUGAAAAGCCACAAUUAUUUAUCUGCUAAACAAACAGGGCCAGGGUGGGAAGUUACUUUUCCUCAGUGCAAUGAGGCCAAAUGCUGAGAAUUGCAACAGUUACAGAAAAAAAUAAAAAGGAGCAGCCUCUGUUCUCUACAGAAGAUUUAAUGUAGUCUUUUUAAGCCUAUGGGGUCACUGUAAUGUGAGAAGGUCCCUGAAUGAGAUGCUUGAGGGAGGUGGUGGCCUCCCAGGCUGUUGCUUGCUCUCACUUGUGGGUCCUCUGCCUUGCAGAAACAUGAUCUGGCAACUGAAUUGAGAUCAGAAAUAUCUACAUAUAUAACCUCCAAACUUCAGAACAUUCAACUAUCUUGUACUAAUUUUUCCUCUAUACUUGGUAACGUCAAAACUCUAGUGGUACUGACCAACCUCUGGGAACAAAGAAAACAAAUUUUAAAGAAUUCUUCGGAGAGGCUUCUAAAUACAGCCACCAAAAGGUGGAACGGAUCAGCCUGCAGUGCCAGUUUCAUACCAGUCAAGCAUGUUAUUUUCUCCUGUUUCUCAGGAAAAUGACAGCUUUUAAUGUUAAAUGAAAAAACACCUGAGAGCAAAAGACUGGGAGAUGAACAGGAACACGGGCAAAGGCUGUUGGCCUUUCCUCAUCUUGAGUUCCAGCAGGAAGCUGUAAUUCUUUCAUCUUGCCUAACACAGUAUUUCAGGUUUAAACACAUAUUCCUGGAAGGAAAGAAUUUUCUGAAUCCUUUUAUUCUUAGAUGAUUUCUGGAGAUAAGUACCUCAGACGGGGGAAGCCUCAGUGCUCACAAUGACAGAACAAAUUCCCAACUGGUAAGCUGCUCAGUACUCUUCUACUGAAUAAAAAACUGGUUGCUAAAUAUUUGCAAAGCAAGGAUAAACAUACCUAGAGCUGAUACUUGGGUAUAGACUUGUGUGACUGAGUAUUUAUGGAAGCACACUGAGGAAACUAGACCCUUGACUUAUGUCCAAACAGGUGAAUUCAGUGCUUAAUUUGGUGCUGCAUGGUCUGCUCAGAGAUUCUCGUUUCUAAUGUUACUGGAAAUUCUUGGCAGCUGGACUGGGGUUUUGCUCCAUACGUUCUACUAGGCAAGAAAACACUGACAAAAGUAGACGUAUGGAUCUUGGGUGUAAGAGUCAUGUGUGAAGACACGGCUGGAAACUCCUAUGAAGAGGCUGGAUUUCCCUGUUCUACCUGCAGCAAGUAGCAGCCUGCUGCUGUUUUGCAUCAAUUUUGUCAGCUUAAUCCCCUUUUCUUUGGCCUCCUUCACUUUGGGGGGGAAGAGAGAAACUGUUCCUGCCUCAGAGAAUAUUUGCCAUGAGAUAGUUUGCUAUAAAGGUUCUAGGCCGCUCAUUGUACUACUUAGUAAUAUCUGAGAAUCAAUCAUUCUGCUCUCCUUCCAUCACCAUAAGUAUAGUCCUAAUUGAAUAUAAACUUGGUUUUUCACUGUCAAUAAACAAUGAGUUCAAGAAGUUCUA